UGACCUGCGGACCGGAGCAGCAGAACCGGCCGGCCUUUACAAAAGUAACAGAACCUGACGGCGGUUACAAAAGAAACGGCCGUUACAGUGCUGAUGAGAAGCUCAGUCCUUGGGCACGUCUCACUGGUGAUGUAGCAGUCAUACUAUCCAUCAACCGCCCCCUUCCAGUGCCCAGCAUCGUGUAUCCUCUGCACCCUGCGGCUCAGAGGAAUUACCUGAAGAUUAUGUCUCUUGACCAAACUUGGCCCAGGAGAAAAGAUCAAAAGCAAUUGCAUGACGCAGUUCUCUGGUGGAAAAUGGAAGGGCUGUGUCAGUCCGUCCAGAGUGCUUGAAUGAAGCACUAUAAACCCAGUUGCUUAUAAACAACAGCGAUUUAUUUCUUGCAGGCUGGACGCUGGGAUUUGCAAGAUCAAGGGGCUGGCAGAUGUGGCGUCUGUUCCCUGGAAGCUUGUGAUGCAGAGGACUCUCCUCACACCAGAAAUGCGGCCAUCCCCAGUUCAGCUGGACCACUCACCAAAGGCAGUCACAGCUGAGCUGGUUGAUGGUUGAUGUUUGUCCUAGAACAAGGCAGGAAAGAACAUCUGGAACAUUCUUCCAAAUGAGGAUCAAAACAAUGACUUCAGAUGAAGCAGACUCACUGGAGUAAACACAGCCCAGAGGAUCCCGUGAAGCAGGCUUGCCUGAACUCUGCCAGAGAGCAGUCUCUGGGGCUGAGAGUUCAGGCCAGCUCAGAGUUACACCCCCAGUCUCUUGAAAAAGGCUCUGAACCCGUGGGAUACUACUGGGAAGGGCCCUAGGGAAGGUCUCAGUUGCCACCCAAGAGCAGAAAGGACCCUAUGACAGACAAGGCACCUACAGCCUUCUGCCCCAGGACCUUAUUCCCUUCUCUCAGAAUGCCUGCGUAUUUGGCCGUCUGCCUUGCCCUGG